UUUGACAAUGGAGAGUUUGAUCCUGGCUCAGGAUGAACGCUAGCGAUAGGCUUAACACAUGCAAGUCGAGGGGUAACAUGGAGAGAAGCUUGCUUCACUCUGAUGACGACCGGCGGAUGGGUGAGUAACGCGUAUGCAACUUGCCUCUUAGUGGGGGAUAACCCGGAGAAAUCCGGACUAAUACCGCAUAUUCUUAAUUUCUCGCCUGAGUUAUUAAGGAAAGAUUUAUUGCUAAGAGAUAGGCAUGCGUUCCAUUAGUUAGUUGGUGAGGUAACGGCUCACCAAGGCAUCGAUGGAUAGGGGAGCUGAGAGGCUGAUCCCCCACAUUGGGACUGAGACACGGCCCAAACUCCUACGGGAGGCAGCAGUGAGGAAUAUUGGUCAAUGGAGGAAACUCUGAACCAGCCAAGUCGCGUGAAGGAUGACGGUCCUAUGGAUUGUAAACUUCUUUAGUAGGUGAGUAAGGAUAGGUACGUGUACCUAUUAGAAAGUAGCCUAAGAAUAAGUAUCGGCUAACUCCGUGCCAGCAGCCGCGGUAAUACGGAGGAUACGAGCGUUAUCCGGAUUUAUUGGGUUUAAAGGGUGCGUAGGUGGCUGAUUAAGUCAGUGGUGAAAAGCUAUGGCUCAACCAUAGUCUUGCCGUUGAUACUGGUUAGCUUGAGUGUAGAUGAUGUAGGCGGAAUGCGUAGUGUAGCGGUGAAAUGCAUAGAUAUUACGCAGAACUCCGAUUGCGAAGGCAGCUUACAAAACUACUACUGACACUGAGGCACGAAAGCGUGGGUAUCAAACAGGAUUAGAUACCCUGGUAGUCCACGCCGUAAACUAUGAUUACUCAGAGUAUGCGAUAUACAGUAUGCUCUCAAGCGAAAGCAUUAAGUAAUCCACCUGGGGAGUACGUCGGCAACGAUGAAACUCAAAGGAAUUGACGGGGGCCCGCACAAGCGGAGGAACAUGUGGUUUAAUUCGAUGAUACGCGAGGAACCUUACCUGGGAUUGAAAUGUAUAGGCUGGUGUCUGGAAACAGCUGCUGUUCACUUCGGUGACUUAUAUGUAGGUGCUGCAUGGUUGUCGUCAGCUCGUGCCGUGAGGUGUCGGCUUAAGUGCCAUAACGAGCGCAACCCUUAUCGUUAGUUGCUAACAGGUUAAGCUGAGGACUCUGGCGAGACUGCCGUCGUAAGGCGAGAGGAAGGUGGGGAUGACGUCAAAUCAGCACGGCCCUUAUAUCCAGGGCGACACACGUGUUACAAUGGUGAGGACAAAGGGUAGCUACCUGGUGACAGGAUGCCAAUCUCCAAACCUCAUCUCAGUUCGGAUCGAAGUCUGCAACUCGACUUCGUGAAGCUGGAUUCGCUAGUAAUCGCGCAUCAGCCAUGGCGCGGUGAAUACGUUCCCGGGCCUUGUACACACCGCCCGUCAAGCCAUGGAAGCUGGGGGUACCUGAAGUGCGUGACCGCGAGGAGCGUCCGAGGGUAAGACCGGUGACUGGGGCUAAGUCGUAACAAGGUAGCCGUACCGGAAGGUGCGGCUGGAACACCUCCUUUCUGGAG
rnacentral:rRNA from 1 species